GACGGAGGAUGCAAGCGUUAUCCGGAAUGAUUGGGCGUAAAGCGUCCGCAGGUGGCAGUUCAAGUCUGCUGUCAAAGACCGGGGCUUAACUUCGGAAAGGCAGUGGAAACUGAACAGCUAGAGUAUGGUAGGGGCAGAGGGAAUUCCUGGUGUAGCGGUGAAAUGCGCAGAUAUCAGGAGGAACACCGAUUGCGAAGGCAGCUCGCUGGGACGUAACUGACGCUGAGACGCGAAAGCGUGGGGAGCAAACAGG
rnacentral:rRNA from 1 species